rnacentral:rRNA from 1 species
UACGAAGGGGGCUAGCGUUGCUCGGAAUUACUGGGCGUAAAGCGCUCGUAGGCGGCUUCUUAAGUCGGUGGUGAAAUCCUGGAGCUCAACUCCAGAACUGCCUUCGAUACUGGGAAGCUCGAGUCCGGGAGAGGUGAGUGGAACUGCGAGUGUAGAGGUGAAAUUCGUAGAUAUUCGCAAGAACACCAGUGGCGAAGGCGGCUCACUGGCCCGGUACUGACGCUGAGGUGCGAAAGCGUGGGGAGCAAACAGG